rnacentral:sRNA from 1 species
CCCGUCUCCGCCGGCUCAGACCCUGACCUCGAUCCUUCCCCUGCCAGGCCGCUUCCGCUUUCCUACAGGCUUCUGGACGGGGAGGCAGCCCUCCCGGCCGUCGUCUUUUUGCACGGGCUCUUCGGCAGCAAAACUAACUUCAACUCCAUCGCCAAGAUCUUGGCCCAGCAGACAGGCCGUAGGGUGCUGACGGUGGAUGCUCGUAACCACGGUGACAGCCCCCACAGCCCAGACAUGAGCUACGAGAUCAUGAGCCAGGACCUGCAGGACCUUCUGCCCCAGCUGGGCCUGGUGCCCUGCGUCGUCGUUGGCCACAGCAUGGGAGGAAAGACAGCCAUGCUGCUGGCACUACAGAGGGACAUGGCCGUGCGGCAGCACCUGCUCACUAACCUGGUAGAGGUAGACGGGCGCUUCGUGUGGAGGGUGAACUUGGAUGCCCUGACCCAGCACCUAGACAAGAUCUUGGCUUUCCCACAGAGGCAGGAGUCCUACCUCGGGCCAACACUCUUUCUCCUUGGUGGAAACUCCCAGUUCGUGCAUCCCAGCCACCACCCUGAGAUUAUGCGGC